rnacentral:tRNA from 1 species
GGAUCAGUAGCUCAAUGGUUAGAGUCCCCGCCUCAUAAGCGGGUCGUUACAGGUUCGAGUCCUGUCUGAUCCA